CUACGGGGUGCACCAGUGGGGAAUAUUGGACAAUGGGGGAAACCCUGAUCCAGCAAUGCCGCGUGUGUGAAGAAGGCCUGCGGGUUGUAAAGCACUUUCGGUUGGGAGGACUGCUUCUAGCACUAAUAUUGUUGGAAGUUGAUGUUACCUUCAGAAGAAGCACCGGCUAACUCCGUGCCAGCAGCUGCGGUAAUACGGAGGGUGCAAGCGUUAAUCGGAAUUACUGGGCGUAAAGCGCGCGUAGGCGGCUAGAUCAGUCGGGUGUGAAAGCCCCGGGCUUAACCUGGGAACUGCAUCCGAUACUGUCUAGCUUGAGUACAGGAGAGGAGAGUGGAAUUCCACAUGUAGCGGUGAAAUGCGUAGAUAUGUGGAGGAACACCAAUGGCGAAGGCAGCUCUCUGGCCUGAUACUGACGCUGAGGUGCGAAAGCGUGGGGAGCAAACAGGAUUAGAUACCCGAGUAGUC
rnacentral:rRNA from 1 species